AUAAUGGUGUCUUUAGACACCACCUUUUGUUCUUCGAAAAUUUUC
rfam:Picea glauca, whole genome shotgun sequence.